rnacentral:misc_RNA from 1 species
GGUUUGUCUACUUGUUAACUGAUUCAAGCAUUUCUAGGGACAUGUUUUAACGUAUAUGAUUUCAUUAUUUGGGAUUUAUUCUGUGGGAUUGGAUACUAGAUUAGUGAAAUUAAUCAAGGAUAAUCGUGAUUCUUGAGGAGAUGAAAUGCACUAAUUAGAAUGGAUGCAUACAUCAGUUCAGAAAGGUAAAUUGUUCAAUGUAGAAGUGAAAAUUACAGUCUAACCAAAAGGCCAUCACUAUACGAG